rnacentral:rRNA from 1 species
GAUGAACGCUGGCGGCGUGCCUAAUACAUGCAAGUCGAGCGAACAGAUGAGGAGCUUGCUCCUCUGACGUUAGCGGCGGACGGGUGAGUAACACGUGGAUAACCUACCUAUAAGACUGGGAUAACUUCGGGAAACCGGAGCUAAUACCGGAUAAUAUAUUGAACCGCAUGGUUCAAUAGUGAAAGACGGUUUUGCUGUCACUUAUAGAUGGAUCCGCGCCGCAUUAGCUAGUUGGUAAGGUAACGGCUUACCAAGGCAACGAUGCGUAGCCGACCUGAGAGGGUGAUCGGCCACACUGGAACUGAGACACGAUCCAGACUCCUACGGGAGGCAGCAGUAGGGAAUCUUCCGCAAUGGGCGAAAGCCUGACGGAGCAACGCCGCGUGAGUGAUGAAGGUCUUCGGAUCGUAAAACUCUGUUAUUAGGGAAGAACAAAUGUGUAAGUAACUAUGCACGUCUUGACGGUACCUAAUCAGAAAGCCACGGCUAACUACGUG